rnacentral:rRNA from 1 species
AACGAACGCUGGCGGCAGGCCUAACACAUGCAAGUCGAGCGCACCCUUCGGGGUGAGCGGCGGACGGGUGAGUAACGCGUGGGAACGUGCCCUUCUCUGCGGAAUAGCCUCGGGAAACUGAGAGUAAUACCGCAUACGCCCUUUGGGGGAAAGAUUUAUCGGAGAAGGAUCGGCCCGCGUUGGAUUAGGUAGUUGGUGGGGUAAUGGCCCACCAAGCCGACGAUCCAUAGCUGGUUUGAGAGGAUGAUCAGCCAGACUGGGACUGAGACACGGCCCAGACUCGUACGGGAGGCAGCAGUGGGGAAUCUUAGACAAUGGGGGCAACCCUGAUCUAGCCAUGCCGCGUGAGUGAUGAAGGCCUUAGGGUUGUAAAGCUCUUUCAGCUGGGAAGAUAAUGACGGUACCAGCAGAAGAAGCCCCGGCUAACUCCGUG